UACGGGGGGAGCAAGCGUUGUUCGGAUUUACUGGGCGUAAAGGGCGCGUAGGCGGUCAGCACAAGUCAGUUGUGAAAUCUCCGAGCUUAACUCGGAAAGGUCAACUGAUACUGUGCGACUAGAGUGCAGAAGGGGCAACUGGAAUUCUUGGUGUAGCGGUGAAAUGCGUAGAUAUCAGGAGGAACACCGGUGGUGUAGACGGCUCUCUGGACCGUAACUGACGCUGAGACACGAAAGCGUGGGUAGCAAACAGG
rnacentral:rRNA from 1 species